UACAGAGGGGGCAAGCGUUGUUCGGAAUUACUGGGCGUAAAGGGCGCGUAGGCGGCCGCCUAAGUCAGACGUGAAAUCCCUCGGCUCAACCGGGGAACUGCGUCUGAUACUGGGUGGCUUGAAUCCGGGAGAGGGAUGUGGAAUUCCAGGUGUAGCGGUGAAAUGCGUAGAUAUCUGGAGGAACACCGGUGGCGAAGGCGGCAUCCUGGACCGGUAUUGACGCUGAGGCGCGAAAGCCAGGGGAGCAAACGGG
rnacentral:rRNA from 1 species